rnacentral:rRNA from 1 species
CACGGUAAACGAUGGAUGCCCGCUGUUUGCGAUAUACUGUGAGCGGCCAAGAGAAAUCGUUAAGCAUCCCACCUGGGGAGUACGCCGGCAACGGUGAAACUCAAAGGAAUUGACGGGGGCCCGCACAAGCGGAGGAACAUGUGGUUUAAUUCGAUGAUACGCGAGGAACCUUACCCGGGCUUGAACUGCAGCGGAAGGAUACAGGGAUGUUGACGCCCUUCGGGGCCGCUGUGGAGGUGCUGCAUGGUUGUCGUCAGCUCGUGCCGUGAGGUGUCGGCUUAAGUGCCAUAACGAGCGCAACCCUUUUCAUCAGUUGCCAUCAGGUGAUGCUGGGCACUCUGGUGAUACUGCCACCGUAAGGUGUGAGGAAGGUGGGGAUGACGUCAAAUCAGCACGGCCCUUACGUCCGGGGCUACACACGUGUUACAAUGGGGCAUACAGAAGGCGGGUUGCACGCAAGUGCGAUCAAAUCUUAAAAGUGUCCCUCAGUUCGGAUUGGGGUCUGCAACCCGACC